UACGAAGGGGGCUAGCGUUGCUCGGAAUCACUGGGCGUAAAGCGCACGUAGGCGGACUCUUAAGUCGGUGGUGAAAUCCUGGAGCUCAACUCCAGAACUGCCUUCGAUACUGGGAGUCUUGAGUGUGGAAGAGGUUGGUGGAACUGCGAGUGUAGAGGUGAAAUUCGUAGAUAUUCGCAAGAACACCAGUGGCGAAGGCGGCUCACUGGCCCGGUACUGACGCUGAGGUGCGAAAGCGUGGGGAGCAAACAGG
rnacentral:rRNA from 1 species